CCACCCUCCACAACGCCCCGCUGGCUCCCAGCUUGGAGAAGCGGCCCCAGCGGGUUACAGGGUCGCGGUCCACACCGAGGGCGCUCGGCCGCACCCACGGGAGCACGAGAAGGCAGAGGAGCGUGAGAAGCCCACAUGUGAAUCCAAGACGGAAGGUUCCAGAAAGGAUGAGGGACGGGGCCCAGCCGUCAGGACUAAGCAUCCUCCAGCACAGAAGUUUCCAGAAGGAUGACGACACUGCCUUUGACAGAGGGAACAUGAGACUGGAGCUGGGACACGGCGGACGAGGAGUCACACACCGGCAGUCUGGCCUCAGAGCACGUGCUCUCUUCGCGGAGCCACGGAGGCCCCCGCCUGACCCAGCUCCUUCUUAACCACGGUGGACUCAUCCCCAAUCGCU
rnacentral:lncRNA from 1 species